CCUACGGGAGGCAGCAGUGAGGAAUAUUGGUCAAUGGGCGCGAGCCUGAACCAGCCAAGUAGCGUGAAGGAGGACGGCCCUACGGGUUGUAAACCUCUUUUGCCGGGGAGCAACGGGCGCCACGUGUGGCGUCACUGAGAGUACCCGGAGAAAAAGCAUCGGCUAACUCCGUGCCAGCAGCCGCGGUAAGACGGAGGAUGCGAGCGUUAUCCGGAUUUAUUGGGGUUAAAGGGUGCGUAGGCGGAUCGUUAAGUCAGUGGUCAAAUUGAGGGGCUCAACCCCUUCCCGCCAUUGAACAGGGCGUUCUUGAGUGGAAGAGAAGUAUGCGGAAUUCGUGGUGUAGCGGUGAAAUGCAUAGAUAUCACGCAGAACCCCGAUUGCGAAGGCAGCAUGCCGGCUUCCGACUGACGCUGAAGCACGAAAGCGUGGGGAUCGAACAGGAUUAGAUACCCUUGUAGUC
rnacentral:rRNA from 1 species